UAAGGCUUAUUUAUCCUCAAAUGUAAGUUGAUAAAAAGUAAAGGAAAUUCCUGUAAUGUUUUUCUUAAACAGAAAGCAUUGUAUAUAUAUGAUUGAAAAAACCUUGAGAUGUUUGAAGAAAGAUCAUUUAAAAGAUAAAGGCUCCUCUUAUUCAUAGCUUACAUUUUUUAAGAAGCUUUCUCAAAAGAAAUGUAUACAAUGCUCUGAUGUUCUGUGUGAUUAUCUGCAUAUUUGUGUUUUUCCUCAUUAUUUCUGCUCAAUAAGCAAGGUUAAAAUGCUUCAAUAUCUCUGUUAUUUGUACAACCAUCAUACUUUAUAUUUUCUGUGGCCUUAUUUUUAAAGCAAAGAAAGACUAGAGGGACAGGUGCUAUGGCAGCCUGCUAGGUUAAUCUUAUCUGUGCUUUGUCAGCCUCCUCACAAAACUUUAAAAAGUGUCAUGUCGGCUGGCUGUAACACUGUGACACUCAACAGACAUACGCAGAAGAGUUGAGAGGACGGAGGAGAGGGAGUAAGCGGAGAUUGAGACCGAAAAAGAGAAAUGAAACAAGAAGGUUGGGAGAGACAACUGUUGACAAAGGAAACACAAAUCCAUUGUAAAACAAACAGAAACAGGUGAAAUCUCGAGCACCUUCCUCGUCCUUUCUGUUUCCACCCACUGACUAUAUUAAAACCAUUCCCUGUUAAUAUAUCUAUUUUCUGCUCAUGAAAAGCUCUGUAUGUGUCACGAUAAAGGUGGAGGUGGUUUGUGAGGUCGGCCCCAGCAGAAUUUUACGAGACAAGCUGUGCUGAUAUAUGGCUGAAGGAGACUCCAUUAAAACGCUGGACCUGCGCCAUUUGGGGAAAAUGGAGGUCACUCAUGCUAGGGUCAUGUGACACCUAUAAAAUCAAACUUUUCCCUAAUAUCUGGCCAUAUAUCACCUCUUCCUCGUGUUUUUUAAUGUUUUUUUUUUCAUCUUUCUUCAACUGAUAUUCAAAUCCUAAAAAAUAGUUAUUGGGUGAGAAUGACAGUUUUUCCAAGAGGUGAAAUGGAUAGGGAGGGGGUGGGGGGUGCUGCAGGUUGUCCAUUUGUGCUUUUCCAUAAGAGAGCGAGGUAAUAUUUAGUUUUUGAUUAAUGUUCCGUAUCAAUCUGCAGAGGAGCAUAGGGAAACGAUCUGUUACGGUGCACUCUUAGAAAGACAAGAACAGCUGCACAGAGAUGUGGUUGACAGUCCCCUUUUUCUGUCACUGUCCUUUCACCUUCCCUUUUUUCCAUCACUCCCUGUCCUUCUUGAUUGAGCCUUUAUUUCUCCCUUUGGGUUUUGUAAUUAAAGUAACUUCAUUCCUUCUUCUGAAUCACCUUACACAUUUAAUUGUCUCUACACUCUAGUUUUCCACCUGUCAUUUUUUUUUUGUAAUGAUAUCACACUUAUCUUCUGGGUUUCUUUCCAGCUCCUGUUUCACCUCCUAUAGCAACACCUGCAAACCUAGAGAAACAUACCAUAUCUAUCCUCUACUUUCAUAUUCCUUACUUGUUUUGGAUCCCUUCUCUUUAUGUCUCUUUGGGCUAGGCUGUGUUUCCUGUGUGUCUCCCCCAUUGCUCCCAGCUCCCUAGGGCAUCAUUUCCAGGCUUCAUUUGUUUGAGGGCUUUCUAAUCUGGGCACUAGGACAACCUCAGUCCACCGUGCCCUCGUCAAUCAUCCCUACAGAGGAACAGAGAGAAGGUGAAGAAGGAGUAGAGAGGAGGAGGAAGAAGAGCGGAAGGGGGCUCACAAAAGGCCAGGAGACCGUUGGUGAAUAUUCUAAAAGGGCACAGGGCUGAGAUGGGCUUGAUGGGAGGCUUUGAUUUCUGGCUAAUAGCCACUUCAAACAGGCUGGGAUGGCUCUGAGACAGGGGAGGAAGAUGACACAAGGGCUAAAGGACAGAAAGACCCGACACCCACGUUCACAGAUUGCACGUAAAGAAGCAGACGGGGAAACUGAUGGACCGUGUGACUUAAAAGUAUUUAUUUAAUAAACUGGCGCAGAGCCACCGCACUGAUACUGGUGGACAUCCAGGGAGCUAUUGUUGAGAUAGGUGAGUUUUAAGUAUCUUGGUGUACACCUUAACUAUAAACUGGACUGGAGUAAUAACCCUCUUUGUGGAAAGGGUC